rnacentral:rRNA from 1 species
UACGAAGGGGGCUAGCGUUGUUCGGAUUUACUGGGCGUAAAGGGCGCGUAGGCGGCCUGUCAAGUCAAUUGUGAAAUCUCCGGGCUUAACUCGGAACGGUCAAUUGAUACUGUCAGGCUAGAGUGCAGAAGGGGCAAUCGGAAUUCUUGGUGUAGCGGUGAAAUGCGUAGAUAUCAAGAGGAACACCUGAGGUGAAGACGGGUUGCUGGGCUGACACUGACGCUGAGGCGCGAAAGCCAGGGGAGCAAACGGG